rnacentral:tRNA from 1 species
GCCUGGGUGGCUCAGUCGGUGGAGCGUCCGACUUCAGCUCAGGUCAUGAGCUCGUGGUUCGUGAGUUCGAGUCCCGCAUCGGGCU